UCCCUCUUAGUUCAGGGGUAGAACGUCACACUCGUAUCUUGUAAAUGCAUGUGAAGGUCAGUCGUUCAAAUCGGCUAGCGGGAA